GAUGAACGCUGGCGGCGUGCUUAACACAUGCAAGUCGAACGGUGAAGGCGGAGCUUGCUCUGCUGGAUCAGUGGCGAACGGGUGAGUAACACGUGAGCAAUCUGCCCCUGACUCUGGGAUAAGCGCUGGAAACGGCGUCUAAUACUGGAUACGAGCUGCGAAGGCAUCUUCAGCAGCUGGAAAGAAUUUCGGUCAGGGAUGAGCUCGCGGCCUAUCAGCUUGUUGGUGAGGUAAUGGCUCACCAAGGCGUCGACGGGUAGCCGGCCUGAGAGGGUGACCGGCCACACUGGGACUGAGACACGGCCCAGACUCCUACGGGAGGCAGCAGUGGGGAAUAUUGCACAAUGGGCGAAAGCCUGAUGCAGCAACGCCGCGUGAGGGACGACGGCCUUCGGGUUGUAAACCUCUUUUAGCAGGGAAGAAGCGAAAGUGACGGUAUCUGCAGAAAAAGCGCCGGCUAACUACGUG
rnacentral:rRNA from 1 species